GUAACAUGGUUUUUUCGGAUUCUAUAUUUUUUUUUAUUGAUACACUUUGGCACUGUUUUUCAAACUGUUAUACUCAUAUAAAUCCAAAAUUGUAUGAAUAUGUUGCUUUGAUACUCCUAUAUCAUCUUGCAGUGCAUUUGAUAUCAAUGCAGUGCACUACAUCCAAAAGUCUGCUGCAAUCACAGUUCAUAUUUCAAAAGGCAACUGUGAAUUACUAGCACUAUCGAGCAAUAGAAUACAUUUUUAUGUUAAAAAACUUUUAUUAUAGGAGCACUUUCGGCAAUUUGCCAUCGUCAGCUGCUACAAAAGAAUACAAUGUUUUCAAACAUCAAAUUCCUCAAUUUACAUAUUUAAAUUUAAAUUACAAUACAGUUCAUAUUUAUGAUCUGUCAUUAAC
rnacentral:lncRNA from 1 species